rnacentral:rRNA from 1 species
AGAUUGAACGCUGGCGGAAUGCUUUACACAUGCAAGUCGAACGGUAGAGGGGCAACCCUUGAGAGUGGCGAACGGGUGAGUAAUAUAUCGGAACGUGCCCAGUCGUGGGGGAUAACGUAGCGAAAGUUACGCUAAUACCGCAUACGAUCUAAGGAUGAAAGCAGGGGGAUCGCAAGACCUUGCGCUGAUUGAGCGGCCGAUAUCAGAUUAGCUAGUUGGUGGGGUAAAGGCCUACCAAGGCGACGAUCUGUAGCGGGUCUGAGAGGAUGAUCCGCCACACUGGAACUGAGACACGGUCCAGACUCCUACGGGAGGCAGCAGUGGGGAAUUUUGGACAAUGGGGGCAACCCUGAUCCAGCCAUGCCGCGUGAGUGAAGAAGGCCUUCGGGUUGUAAAGCUCUUUCGGCCGGGAAGAAAUCGCAUAGGCUAAUACCCUGUGUGGAUGACGGUACCGGAAUAAGAAGCACCGGCUAACUACGUG